GUGACUACCUUCCUCUUUUUCUGUUUUUGCUGCUUCUCUGGAGUGAGGGGCUGGCACCAUGCACAAGUCUUCUUUGGUUGUGUCUGUCCCUUGCAUCUUCUUCUGUGACUCCCAUCCUUAGCAGCUCUAGCACAAUUCCAUCCUUCCAUCUCACUCACUCUUUACCUUGAUCUUCCUUCAACUGGCUUUCUCCAGGCCCUUUUAAUUAGUCCUUUAUCAAGAUUGCCUCCAAUAACCACCUAGGAUGUGAACAAUCUCAUAUCACCACAUCAGUCUGGCUAGAUUAUAACGUGCCUUCUCUUCUUCCCUGGGAGCAGCAAACCUGUGUGGGCUCCCAGACAGGUGAGUGCUGUGUGCUGAGAAAGGCAUGGCAGAAAGUGGAAAGUGGUGCUGAGGUCCCCAGAUAACUUAGUGAACUCCUACACUGAGGGACUGGAGAAGGUCUUGAAUGACUCCUCCAGAAUCAAGGAACUGCCAGUCCAAUACAUCACAGGAGGCAAUGCUAUUGGGCUGCAAAAAAAAAUUCACCUUUAGGAAGUUAUUUGACCACAGCCUUCAGAAGAUGCAAGAGUCAAGCCUGAUGAACAAGGUGAGGACCAAUUGGCUAUCAGCAGGAACUUCAACGUGUGGCAGGAAGACUAAAUUCACAGCCAGCCUCUCUGAUGUGGCUGCAAUCUUCAUCCUCUU